UACGGAGGGUGCAAGCAUUAAUCGGAAUUAUUGGGCGUAAAGGGCGCGUAGGCGGAUGGGAAAGUCAGAUGUGAAAUUCCGAAGCUCAACUUCGGAGCUGCAUUUGAAACUUCCGAUCUUGAGGAAUGGCGGAGAAAAUGGAAUUCCACGUCUAGCGGUGAAAUGCGUAGAUAUGUGGAAGAACACCUGUGGCGAAAGCGGUUUUCUAGCUUAAUCCUGACGCUGAUUCGCGAGAUCAAGGGGAGCAAACAGG
rnacentral:rRNA from 1 species